UCGAGCGAAUGGAUUGAGAGCUUGCUCUCAAGAAGUUAGCGGCGGACGGGUGAGUAACACGUGGGUAACCUGCCCAUAAGACUGGGAUAACUCCGGGAAACCGGGGCUAAUACCGGAUAACAUUUUGAACUGCAUGGUUCGAAAUUGAAAGGCGGCUUCGGCUGUCACUUAUGGAUGGACCCGCGUCGCAUUAGCUAGUUGGUGAGGUAACGGCUCACCAAGGCAACGAUGCGUAGCCGACCUGAGAGGGUGAUCGGCCACACUGGGACUGAGACACGGCCCAGACUCCUACGGGAGGCAGCAGUAGGGAAUCUUCCGCAAUGGACGAAAGUCUGACGGAGCAACGCCGCGUGAGUGAUGAAGGCUUUCGGGUCGUAAAACUCUGUUGUUAGGGAAGAACAAGUGCUAGUUGAAUAAGCUGGCACCUUGACGGUACCUAACCAGAAAGCCACGGCUAACUACGUGCCAGCAGCCGCGGUAAUACGUAGGUGGCAAGCGUUAUCCGGAAUUAUUGGGCGUAAAGCGCGCGCAGGUGGUUUCUUAAGUCUGAUGUGAAAGCCCACGGCUCAACCGUGGAGGGUCAUUGGAAACUGGGAGACUUGAGUGCAGAAG
rnacentral:rRNA from 1 species